rnacentral:rRNA from 1 species
GACAGAGGGGGCAAGCGUUGCUCGGAAUUACUGGGCGUAAAGGGCGCGUAGGCGGCGCUGCAAGUCAGGCGUGAAAUUCCUGGGCUUAACCUGGGGGCUGCGCUUGAGACUGUGGUGCUAGAGGAUGGAAGAGGCUCGUGGAAUUCCCAGUGUAGAGGUGAAAUUCGUAGAUAUUGGGAAGAACACCGGUGGCGAAGGCGGCGAGCUGGUCCAUUACUGACGCUGAGGCGCGAUAGCGUGGGGAGCAAACAGG